UACAGAGGUCUCAAGCGUUGUUCGGAUUCAUUGGGCGUAAAGGGUGCGUAGGCGGCGCGGUAAGUCGGGUGUGAAAUCUUGGAGCUUAACUCCGAAACUGCAUUCGAUACUGCCGUGCUUGAGGACUGGAGAGGAGACUGGAAUUUACGAUGUAGCGGUGAAAUGCGUAGAUAUCGUAAGGAAGACCAGUGGCGAAGGCGGGUCUCUGGACAGUUCCUGACACUGAGGCACGAAGGCCAGGGGAGCAAACGGG
rnacentral:rRNA from 1 species